UUGGUGUCUGCUUAGCUAAAAUUAUUCUGAUAUAUAAUUGGUGAACAACGAGCAUAUUCUUUAAUUAAUCUGGAUGGAAAACAUUUGACCUACUAAACAUUGCAAUAUAUAACUGUACCAAUUAAUAUAAAUUUCCAUAUACAAGAAUAAACCAUUGACACAGAGACGUGUCUCGCAUAUUGGCAUGAAAUUAUAAAAAGACAAUCUGAUGGACAGCAACUUUGCUUGUUUAUUAAAACAUUGGAUCUUAAUCUUGUUUACAGGAACUGAAAGUGAUCGACAAAACUAAGAUGAACAUGCAAUAGUGUAUUUUUAUAGAAAAUAUCGUUGUUUUUGUAGGUAGUCCUGUCAACAUAACUUGAGCAUAUAAACUUAACAUUAAAAAAAGCUAAUUAAUUCACUAACCUACGCUUCAGGCCGGGGCCUCAAAAUAGUCUUCAAACAAAUAUGUAUGGACAGUAAUGCAACUUCGUACAAAAUAUCAUGGAUCUAUCACAAGUAGAUCAUAUCGAACCAACAUAAGCAGAAACCUUAACAUUGAACAUAUCUAAUUCAUUCGAAGUCACUGGACCAUGUUAUAGGGCGAAUGGCCUCAAAAAAGUGGUCAAACUGAAAUUUACUAACAGUAAUGCGACUUCAUACAACAUAUCAUUGAUCUAUUAAAAGAAGAUCUCAUCAAACUAACUUAAGAACAAAUCUUAAGAUUGCAAAUUGCUAAUUAUUAUAAAGUCAAUGGACCAUAUCAUAGGGGACAGGGCCUCAUUAAAGUCGUCAGACUGAUAUAUAAUGAUAGUAAUGCAACUUCAUACAACAUAUCAUUGAUCUAACACAAGAAGUUACUAUCAAACCGACUUUAGCAGAAAAAAUAACAGGUGUUGACGACAUCAACGUCGCCGUUGCUUGAAAAGCAAUCUAUAUAUUAUAGUUCGUUCUUAUGUUGUACUGUUAUACCACUGUCCCAGGUAAGGGGGAGGGUUGGAAUCGCGCUAACAUGUUUAACCCCGCCACAUUAUGUAUGUAUG
rnacentral:lncRNA from 1 species